AGAUUGAACGCUGGCGGCAUGCUUUACACAUGCAAGUCGAACGGUAACAGGCCGCAAGGUGCUGACGAGUGGCGAACGGGUGAGUAGUGCAUCGGAACGUGCCCAGUCGUGGGGGAUAACGCAGCGAAAGCUGUGCUAAUACCGCAUACGAUCUAUGGAUGAAAGCGGGGGACCGAAAGGCCUCGCGCGAUUGGAGCGGCCGAUGUCAGAUUAGCUAGUUGGUGGGGUAAAGGCCACCGAGGCGACGAUCUGUAGCUGGUCUGAGAGGACGACCAGCCACACUGGAACUGAGACACGGUCCAGACUCCUACGGGAGGCAGCAGUGGGGAAUUUUGGACAAUGGGCGCAAGCCUGAUCCAGCAAUGCCGCGUGC
rnacentral:rRNA from 1 species